rnacentral:snoRNA from 1 species
GUGGGAAGGUGUGCGUGGUUGCCAUCUGCGUUAUGUGCUGUUGCCAGGCUGUGUCCUAUAGCUUGGACGGCAGUGCUCACUCCACAUACCUGCGGCCAUAGAGCCACUGGAGAUCAUAGUACUGGCUCUGUGACGUCUCUUGACUCCUUACCACUGGCCAGCCUCCAUACUCUCCUACAAAC